rfam:Ornithorhynchus anatinus chromosome 2, whole genome shotgun sequence.
AGCAGUGUGGCCUAGUGGAAAGAGCAUGAGCCUGAGAGUCAAAGGACCUGGGUUCUAAUCCCAGCUCUGCUA